rnacentral:rRNA from 1 species
GACAGAGGUGCCGAGCGUUAGGCGGAAUCACUGGGCUUAAAGCGUGUGUAGGCGGGCGGGCAAGUACCUUGUGAAAGUCCCACGGCUCAACCGUGGAACGGCUGGGUAUACUGCCUGUCUUGAGCCAACUAGGGGCGAGCGGAACAGACGGUGGGAGCGGUGAAAUGCGUAGAUAUCGUCUGGAACGCCAAAGGUGAAAACAGCUCGCUGGGGUUGUGCUGACGCUGGAGACACGAAGCCAGGGGAGCGAACGGG